GAUGAACGCUAGCGGCAGGCUUAACACAUGCAAGUCGAGGGGCGAGCACGGGUAGCAAUACCUGGUGGCGACCGGCGCAAGGGUGCGUAACGCGUGAGCAACAUGCCCUAUACAGGGGGAUAAUCCAGGGAAACUUGGUCUAAUAUCCCAUAGUAUUUAGAGGAGGCAUCUUCUAUAAAUUAAAGCUUCGGUGGUAUAGGAUUGGCUCGCGUGACAUUAGCUAGAUGGUGAGGUAACGGCUCACCAUGGCAAUGAUGUCUAGGGGUUCUGAGAGGAAGGCCCCCCACACUGGGACUGAGACACGGCCCAGACUCCUACGGGAGGCAGCAGUGAGGAAUAUUGGACAAUGGAUGGAAAUCUGAUCCAGCCAUGCCGCGUGCAGGAAGACAGCCCUAUGGGUUGUAAACUGCUUUUAAUAUGGGAGCAAUAAGGUCUACGUGUAGACUGACGAGAGUACCAUAUGAAUAAGCAUCGG
rnacentral:rRNA from 1 species